rnacentral:misc_RNA from 1 species
UUGAAAGUAAACUGUAGUCGGUUGAGCUGGUUCCUCUGGAACAUGUGCUCGCCUUCUGCGCUUUCUACUUAUCCACCUGUGCACUUAUGUAGACGGUAGAUCAAUCUCUCCGCAAGGAGGAUAGGAGACUCGAGUUAGCAAUAGCUCUUGACUCUAAAGAUCUAUCCGUCUAUGUUACACAUACACUUUUAAAAACUUUGAAUGUCUGUAUUAUCGGUCUUUGACCUUUAAACAUAUA